GAUGAACGCUGGCGGCGUGCCUAAUACAUGCAAGUCGAGCGAACAGAUGAGGAGCUUGCUCCUCUGACGUUAGCGGCGGACGGGUGAGUAACACGUGGAUAACCUACCUAUAAGACUGGGAUAACUUCGGGAAACCGGAGCUAAUACCGGAUAAUAUAUUGAACCGCAUGGUUCAAUAGUAAAAGACGGUUUUGCUGUCACUUAUAGAUGGAUCCGCGCCGCAUUAGCUAGUUGGUAAGGUAACGGCUUACCAAGGCAACGAUGCGUAGCCGACCUGAGAGGGUGAUCGGCCACACUGGAACUGAGACACGGUCCAGACUCCUACGGGAGGCAGCAGUAGGGAAUCUUCCGCAAUGGGCGAAAGCCUGACGGAGCAACGCCGCGUGAGUGAUGAAGGUCUUCGGAUCGUAAAACUCUGUUAUUAGGGAAGAACAAAUGUGUAAGUAACUAUGCACGUCUUGACGGUACCUAAUCAGAAAGCCACGGCUAACUACGUG
rnacentral:rRNA from 1 species